GACCUUGUAGUGUAAUGGUUAACACGCUUGACACAUGUGUCCGUAGGAAUAAAUCUCUCAUAGUCAAGAGCUACGAGUUCGACUCUCUUCGAGGGAU